ACUAAAAUGACAGAUAGAUUGUAUAGGAUUUAAGCUCCUACUAGGAAGAAAUUUCUUCUUUUAGUA
rnacentral:tRNA from 1 species